GAGGAGGAAGAGGAGGAAGAGGAAGAAGAGGGGGAGGAAGAGAGGAGGAAGAGGGGGAGGAGCAGGAGGUGGAGGAUGAGGAGGAAGAGACGCAGAGAAACAGAGAGACACACACAGAGAAAGACAGAGAAGAGAACACACACAGACACACACAGAGAGGGGGGAGGAGAAGAGAGAGACACAGAGAGAGACAGAGUGAGAGAGGAGAGAGAGAGAAAGAGAGAGGUUUUAAAAUUUAUUUCACUGAAAUAAACUUUACACAUGAUUUUACCCAAUAAGACAAUCUAAAUCAUUUGCUCUAGUCCUCCACAUCAUGUAUUUACAGGCUUUUAAAUUUUAGAUUUCUUGUACUUUACGUAUAUGGCUGUUUCCCUGUGUGAGUACUGCAUGCAUGCUGGUACCCUACAGGUCAGAAGAGGCCAUCGGACCCCCGUGAUUGUGAGCCACUGAGGGAAGGGAUGCUCGAGUACCAUGGCGUGUGGUGGCGAUCAGAGGACAGCUUGUAGAAAUGUCGACUUCUGCCAUGUGGGUCCUGGGAGAUCAAGAGUAGGAUUGAAGAAGCUCUGUGUUUUCUGGUCACACAACACAUCCACUCAGUGUUCAAGUGGGGACUCCUUGGAGAGCUACACAUACUCUGUUUAGACUCCUCUGUCCAGUAGUUUUCUCUUCCCGACAUUUUACAGUGUCUUGAGGGUGUUGCUUUUUAAUUGAAAAAGAAGUGAAAUGAAAAAUGAAUUUCAAAAAAUUUUGUUUGAAAACAGAAGUUUCAGUAUUUCCCCACUGUUUUUGUUUGAGUCUUGCCGAGUAGCCCAGGCUGCCCUUGAACUGACGUGUAGCUGGAUGCUGACCUUGACUUCGUGAUCUCCUGACUUCACUUCCUAAAUCCUGGGAUUAGAGGCAUGCACCACUAGUCGUUGUCGCUCAAUUUGGGGUUUUAUUAACGUAAGAACUAACAGGCACAAACGUCGUGUUUCAAUCAAACGGAGUGCAGUGGCCUUCCCUUGUAUACAACAGACAGUUGAGAGGGAAGGGGUCACUGAAGGCUGGGGAGAGGCCUCUGGAAUGAUAAGGAAAAGCUAACAGGAGGGAAGAAGGAGCUAAGAUGUCUGUCCAGGUGUUUAUCCGGCCUGGAGGCAAGAAAGUGACACCAUUAGAGUCAUAUUUUAAAAAAAGCGUAUUUGUCAUAGAAGUCUAGUCACUGUCUUACAGCUGAGCGUGUGUGCGUGUUGCUUAGAUAAAUGUAAUCAUUGCGAGCA